AUGGCUAACUACAGUUUCUACGUACAGUGUUUUGUGCCGGGAUGUGAAUCGACCUCGAUCACAACCCCCACGAGAAUAUUUUUUAAUGUCCCUCGGGGAAACGAGAGAGAAAGGUGGAGUGCUGCGGUUGGGGUCCGGAGAACCCUCUCCAAAUCCACACCUCACCGGUGCUGUGAGGAUCAUUUUAAUCUUGAAACUGAUCUCAAAGAUAAAUUCAAACUGAAAAAAGGAAUUCUACCGCAUAUUAACAUACCUAACAACACUACUGAGGUUCUGCUUCCUACCUGUGAUUCUAAUGCUAGCCCUCAAAUAGUUGCAGAAACUGAUGAUCACCAGGUAUCUCCUUUCUGUGAUUCUAAUGCUAGCCCUCAAAUAGUUGCAGAAACUGAUGAUCACCAGGUAUCUCCUAUCGGUGACUUUAAUGCCAGCCCUCAAAUAGUGGCAAAAACUGAUGAUCACCAGAUUUUACAAAUCCAUGAUCGGCCCAACUCUCCAAGAAUAUCUAAUUUCAGUGAUGAAACAGAGAUCGAAGCUAGUCAUCAACAGCUGAAUGCAACAAGUGCAUCUACAUGCAGCCAUAAACCAGUGGCUAAAGCCAGCCAUCAGCAGCUGUUUGCAGCAAGUACGUCCACGUGCAGCCAUGAUUCAGUGGCCAGAGUUAGUCAUCAGCAACAGCCUUCUAAUAUUGAACAAAAACCGUGCUCAUUAUGUGGAUGUAAAGGAUUGUGCAGUGCUUAUAGAGCGUUGACCAUUGAUAAGACCACCCAUCAGCCUUCUCUUCAGAUUUUUCCGAGGAGAAAAGCAAAUUGUUGGUUUUUAUUAACUUAUUUGAAUGUACUAAUGCUGAGAGGAAUCAGGCAACAAAAUUUCAAUUCUUAUUUUUGGACAAAAAAAAACAGCAUUUCCAAAUUUCAAAAUACAAAAUUUCAACAAAAUUUUCGCUAA
rnacentral:lncRNA from 1 species